rnacentral:misc_RNA from 1 species
AGUUGCAGAUACAGAGUAGUAUGGAUGCUUGAAUGAUUUCAAAUGCCUGCUUUAGGCACUUGCAGAAUUAUUCUAUAUAUGUUUGCAAUCAUGGUCUUGUACUGAUGAGUACAAUUGCAUCUUUCUAGGGUCUCCAGUCCUUUGGGUUGCAAGAAAAUUAUCUGAUGAUUAGCAUUUUGACAAGGCUGAGGGGUUUCACAAACGAAUCAUCCUACCAGAACUGCAUUAUUCAAUCUGGUCCAGUUUUUGGACAUCAUAUCAAUACUUUGUGAUCCAUUGAUAACCCUGUAUCACUUUAUCUCAAUAAACUAGAUCCAUUUGCUUUGAUAUCACAGAAAAUGUAAUAGUUAAUUAACAUUUUAUAAUUUUCUAUUUUUGUUAAUAUUGAUGGAGUGUAUAUUUUGGACAAAAUCAUAGAA